rnacentral:rRNA from 1 species
AUGAACGCUGGCGGCGUGCCUAAUACAUGCAAGUCGAGCGAACAGAUGAGGAGCUUGCUCCUCUGACGUUAGCGGCGGACGGGUGAGUAACACGUGUAUAACCUACCUAUAAGACUGGGAUAACUUCGGGAAACCGGAGCUAAUACCGGAUAAUAUAUUGAACCGCAUGGUUCAAUAGUGAAAGACGGUUUUGCUGUCACUUAUAGAUGGAUCCGCGCCGCAUUAGCUAGUUGGUAAGGUAACGGCUUACCAAGGCAACGAUGCGUAGCCGACCUGAGAGGGUGAUCGGCCACACUGGAACUGAGACACGGUCCAGACUCCUACGGGAGGCAGCAGUAGGGAAUCUUCCGCAAUGGGCGAAAGCCUGACGGAGCAACGCCGCGUGAGUGAUGAAGGUCUUCGGAUCGUAAAACUCUGUUAUUAGGGAAGAACAAAUGUGUAAGUAACUAUGCACGUCUUGACGGUACCUAAUCAGAAAGCCACGGCUAACUACGUG